ACCUCCAGCAUCCCCAGUAUUGGAGGCACUGCCUGCCCAGUGACAAACGUUAAACGGCCGCGGUAUCCUGACCGUGCAAAGGUAGCAUAAUCAUUUGUUCUCUAAAUAAGGACUUGUAUGAAUGGCCACACGAGGGUUUUACUGUCUCUUACUUCCAAUCAGUGAAAUUGACCUUCCCGUGAAGAGGCGGGAAUAAGCAAAUAAGACGAGAAGACCCUAUGGAGCUUUAACUAAUUAGUCCAAAGAAAACAAACUUAACCACCAAGGGAUAACAACAUCCUCCAUGGACUAACAGCUUUGGUUGGGGUGACCUCGGAGAAUAAAAGAUCCUCCGAGCGAUUUUAAAGACUAGACCUACAAGUCAAAUCAAACUAUCGCUUAUUGAUCCAAAAAUUUGAUCAACGGAACAAGUUACCCUAGGGAUAACAGCGCAAUCCUAUUCAAGAGUCCAUAUCGACAAUAGGGUUUACGACCUCGAUGUUGGAUCAGGACACCCCGAUGGUGCAACCGCUAUCAAA
rnacentral:rRNA from 1 species